CAAGUAGAGGCUUACUAAACACACCCAAGAGUGAUGAUGAGAGUCACUGCCAGUUCCCUUCAAGGGAAAUGUGUUGGGGUGGGAUAGCCACGGUCACCGUGACAAUAGAGAUGUAUGGCGAGUCUCAGCAUACAGCUCAAGUCCCUGGGAGACCACGGGGGAAGAGGAGAAGGGUCUGCACUGAAGGCCAAUUGGAGGAAAUGGCAAGGGGGUUCACCUCUUCACUGUCUGUUCCAGUACUUCUUACUUCAUUGAUGUUACCAGUGAACAAUGGAGCUGCCACUCACAGCCAUCCCGCUGACAUCACUCAGCUUCCCUGAGGAGAAGAGGUGCUAUUGAUAAAUGAUGUGGGGACCACUGGGUAGCCAUGUGGAAAAAAAACACCCAAAA